rnacentral:rRNA from 1 species
CCUACGGGAGGCAGCAGUGGGGAAUAUUGGACAAUGGGCGAAAGCCUGAUCCAGCAAUGCCGCGUGAGUGAUGAAGGCCUUAGGGUUGUAAAGCUCUUUUACCAGGGAUGAUAAUGACAGUACCUGGAGAAUAAGCUCCGGCUAACUCCGUGCCAGCAGCCGCGGUAAUACGGAGGGAGCUAGCGUUGUUCGGAAUUACUGGGCGUAAAGCGUACGUAGGCGGUUAUUCAAGUCAGAGGUGAAAGCCUGGAGCUCAACUCCAGAACUGCCUUUGAAACUAGAUAGCUAGAAUCUUGGAGAGGUGAGUGGAAUUCCGAGUGUAGAGGUGAAAUUCGUAGAUAUUCGGAAGAACACCAGUGGCGAAGGCGACUCACUGGACAAGUAUUGACGCUGAGGUACGAAAGCGUGGGGAGCAAACAGGAUUAGAUACCCUGGUAGUCCACGCCGUAAACGAUGAUAACUAGCUGUUCGGGCUCUACGAGCUUGAGUGGCGCAGCUAACGCAUUAAGUUAUCCGCCUGGGGAGUACGGUCGCAAGNUUAAACUCAAAUUGAAUUGACGG